rnacentral:rRNA from 1 species
UACGAAUGGGGCAAGCGUUGUUCGGAAUCACUGGGCUUAAAGCGUGCGCAGGCGGUCAUGAAAGUCAGGAGUGAAAUCCCCGGGCUCAACCCGGGAAUUGCUCUUGAAACUCCAUGACUAGAAUCCCGGAGAGGUUGACAGAAUUCCGAGUGUAGAGGUGAAAUUCGCAGAUAUUCGGAGGAAUACCAGUGGCGUAAGCGGUCAACUGGACGGGUAUUGACGCUCAGGCACGAAAGCGUGGGUAGCAAAC